AGCGUGGAGACAGGUGGUGCAUGGCUGUCGUCAGCUCGUGUCGUGAGAUGUUGGGUUAAGUCCCGCAACGAGCGCAACCCUCACCCUUUGUUGCCAUCAGGUUAUGCUGGGCACUCUAAGGGAACUGCCUCGGUUAACGAGGAGGAAGGUGGGGAUGACGUCAAGUCAUCAUGCCCCUUACGCUCUGGGCUACACACGUGCUACAAUGGCCAAUACAAAGGGCUGCAAACCCGCGAGGGCAAGCCAAUCCCAAAAAAUUGGUCUCAGUUCAGAUUGUAGGCUGCAACCCGCCUGCAUGAAGGAGGAAUCGCUAGUAAUCGUGGAUCAGCAUGCCACGGUGAAUACGUUCCCGGGCCUUGUACACACCGCCCGUCACACCACGAAAGUCUGCUGUACUCGAAGUCGCUGAG
rnacentral:rRNA from 1 species